rnacentral:rRNA from 1 species
UACGGGGGGGCAAGCGUUGUUCGGAAUUACUGGGCGUAAAGGGCUCGUAGGUGGCCAACUAAGUCAGACGUGAAAUCCCUCGGCUUAACCGGGGAACUGCGUCUGAUACUGGAUGGCUUGAGUUCGGGAGAGGGAUGCGGAAUUCCAGGUGUAGCGGUGAAAUGCGUAGAUAUCGGGAGGAACACCGGUGGCGAAGGCGGCGACCUGGGUCGAGACUGACGCUGAGGCGCGAAAGCGUUGGGGAGCAAACAGG